UGCAUCGGCCGGGAAUCGAACACGGACUGCCCGCGUGACAGGCGAGCAUUCUAACACUGAACCACCGAUGG
rnacentral:tRNA from 1 species